ACCCUUAUAGCUCAGCGGAAGAGCAGUGGUCUACGAAGCCAUGCGCCCACGUUCGAAUCGUGGUAGGGGUA
rnacentral:tRNA from 1 species